rnacentral:rRNA from 1 species
GGCUACACACGUGCUACAAUGGGUAGUACAGAGAGUCGCAAAGCCGCGAGGUGGAGCUAAUCUCAGAAAACUAUUCUUAGUUCGGAUUGUACUCUGCAACUCGAGUACAUGAAGUUGGAAUCGCUAGUAAUCGCGAAUCAGCAAUGUCGCGGUGAAUACGUUCUCGGGUCUUGUACACACCGCCCGUCACACCAUGAGAGUUGGUUGCACCUGAAGUAGCAGGCCUAACCGUAAGGAGGGAUGCUCCGAGGGUGUGAUUAGCGAUUGGGGUGAAGUCGUAACAAGGUAUCCGUACGGGAACGU